UACGUAGGGUGCAGGCGUUUAAUCGGAAUUACUGGGCGUAAAGCGUGCGCAGGCGGUUAUGUAAGACAGGUGUGAAAUCCCCGGGCUUAACCUGGGAACUGCAUUUGUGACUGCAUAGCUAGAGUACGGUAGAGGGGGGAUGGAAUUCCGCGUGUAGCAGUGAAAUGCGUAGAUAUGCGGAGGAACACCGAUGGCGAAGGCAAUCCCCCUGGACCUGUACUGACGCUCAUGCACGAAAGCGUGGGGAGCAAACAGG
rnacentral:rRNA from 1 species